rnacentral:rRNA from 1 species
AGUGAACGCUGGCGGUAGGCCUAACACAUGCAAGUCGAACGGCAGCACAGUAAGAGCUUGCUCUUACGGGUGGCGAGUGUCGGACGGGUGAGGAAUACAUCGGAAUCUACUUUUUCGUGGGGGAUAACGUAGGGAAACUUACGCGAAUACCGCAUACGACCUACGGGUGAAAGCAGGGGAUCUUCGGACCUUGCGCGAUUGAAUGAGCCGAUGUCGGAGUAGCUAGUUGGCGGGGUAAAGGCCCACCAAGGCGACGAUCCGUAGCUGGUAUGAGAGGAUGAUCAGCCACACUGGAACUGAGACACGGUCCAGACUCCUACGGGAGGCCGCAGUGGGGAAUAUUGGACAAUGGGCGCAAGCCUGAUCCAGCCAUACCGCGUGGGUGCAGAAGGCCUUCGGGUUGUAAAGCCCUUUUGUUGGGAAAGAAAAGCAGCAGGUUAAUACCCCGCUGUUCUGACGGUACCCAAAGAAUAAGCACCGGCUAACUUCGUG